AUACUUACCUGGCAGGGGAGAUACCAUUGUCAUACAGGUGGAUUUCCUAGGGUGAGGUUCAUCCAUUGCACUUGGGGUGUGUUGAUUCCUGUGAUUUCCCCAAAUGUGGGAACCUCUAUUGCAUAAUUUUUAUUAGUGGGGGACUAUGUUUGUGCUCUCCCCUG